rnacentral:lncRNA from 1 species
UGAACACAUCCAGAGAUUAUCUAAAGUAGUGACUGCAAACCACAGAGCUCUGCAGAUCCCAGAGGUAAUGUGGGCUUGCGUGUAGGUGGGUGGUGGUGCACCUGGAGAGUUAGCACUUCAGCAGGGCCCCGGGGGCCCGAGACGGAAGCAAGCACUGUUUUCCCAGGCGUUCCCAGGGAACUUCCAAGAUGUAACUUCCUCUGUGUAGAGGACCAUGGUGGAGGAGUGGGGCGAGCCGGUCGUAGGGUACCCCUUAAAGUAGCUCUGCUCCCAAACCCAGCUUCUGCCCCAGCUCUGCCCUCCUGGGCAGUGUGCUGCCACUGCACACCUUUAGGCUGGGCUUCCAUUUCUGAUGCAAACAAGAACUGUUCCAGAAGAAACGCUCAGUCUGUGUGGCCUCAGGACAGGUGCUUUCUCGGCACAGUGCCAGCUCUGUGAGAUUUCUGUUUGCUAAAAAUUCCUUAUGAUGAAACAUUGAGCACUGCAGGGUUUUACAUUUUCUUUGGUAUGGGUUUUUUGUUGCUUGAUGUUUGUUUGUUUGUUUGUUUGUUUGAGACAGCUCCCCCUACACACACACACACACACACACACACACACACACACACACACACACACACACACACGAGCGCGCGCACAGGGUCUCUACCUCAAGAGUAGAGACAGAUUCUGUCCUCACUGACCUCAAUCUUGCUAUGUUGCCGACGCUGGCCUUAACCCCCUGACCCUCCUGCCUUGAUCCCCAAGUGCUAUGAUCCCAAGCUUUCGCCACCGUCCUGGGCUUUUGUUCCUGAGGAAACACUGCAGCAAAGACCAGUAGUGGUGUGUCCAUUGCCUUCUUGCUGCCGCUUGUCUGUGCUUUUGAACUCCACUAACUGGAAAGUCUCGUCCCAGCCUUGUAAGGGACUCACAGGGAGGUUGCGAGCUCCAGGCUCUGUGGCAGACCACCUCUGCCUCAUGGCUAGGCUGCUAUGUUUUGAGAUAGGGUUUAUCUUAGAUGGCCGGGAAGGAAGUGGUCCCGGUCAGUUUGCUGGGGUGGGUCCUGUGGCUGCUGUGGAGACUGCUGCUGGGUUCAUGAUGUGAUGUUGUCUGCCAUCCCGCUCAGGUCUAUCUUCGUGAGGCACCGUGGCCAUCUGCACAGUCAGAAAUCAGGACUAUUAGUGCUUACAAGACGCCCCGGGACAAAGUGCAGUGCAUCCUGAGAAUGUGCUCCACUAUCAUGAACCUCCUGAGUCUGGCCAAUGAGGACUCUGUCCCCGGGGCAGAUGACUUUGUCCCCGUGUUGGUGUUUGUGUUGAUAAAG